GAAAUGCGAUAAGUAGUGUGAAUUGCAGAAUUCAGUGAAUCAUCGAAGCUUGGAACGCACAUUGCGCCCCUUGGUAUUCCAUGGGGCAUGCCUGUUCGAGCAUCAUUUGUACCCUCAAGCUCUCCUUGGUGUUGGGUGUUUGUCCCGUCUCCGCGCGUGGACUCGCCCCAAAGUGAUUGGCAGCCGGCGUACUGGUCCCGGAGCGCAGCACAUGUCGCGCAAACGAGUGCCUUGGUACGGCGGCGUCCAUAAGCCCCUCUCUCACGCUCUUGACCUCGGAUCAGGUAGGGAUACCCGCUGAACUUAAGC
rnacentral:misc_RNA from 1 species